rnacentral:tmRNA from 1 species
GGGGAUGAACAGGCUUCGACGGGGCAACUGGAUCCGCGAACCGCAAGCCGUGGAGCGACUCCCACGUAAAAAAGGCGCACACAACAUACAAGUGCCAAGAACACAGGUAUGAGCUUCAACUUUGGCUUCACCGCUGCUCCCGCCCUUGGCGGCGUGGCUGCGUAGACCAAAGUUAGGCAUCCGGCCCAACUCCGGUUGGGUCUCGGUCCACGGGAAUGCCGCCCGCAGGUUUCCGUGAGGCCGUCAGACACUGGGGGAUGCAGCAGCCGGACGUCGAUAGGGCUGCCCAAGACCAUCGACUCGCCCCUUCGUCCCCGUCGCCGGGGAUACGAAGUCGGCUAAAGCCACAAUCCGGCGACUAAGCUUGUAGACGUUUUCGGGACACUGUUUCGGACGCGGGUUCGAUUCCCGCCAUCUCCACCU